rnacentral:tRNA from 1 species
GCGGCCGUAGUCUAGCCUGGUCUAGGACACGAGCCUGCCAAGCUUGUGACGCGGGUUCAAAUCCCGCCGGCCGCA